ensembl:lncRNA
UUUUAAGAGAUCAUCUCCCUGGUACACAUCUGAGUUGCGCAAAUUGAAGGCAUUAGGCAGGCAGUUGGAACGGAAAUACAAAAAAACUGGUCUAACAGUUCACAGAUUAAUGUUUAAUCAGCAUCAGAUUGAGUAUCAAAAUGCGCUCAAAGCUGCAAAAGGGGCAUAUUAUUCUACUAUUAUUAGUAGUAACAUCUCUAAUCCCCGUGUUCUGUUUAGAGCAGUCAAUAAUCUAAUCAAACCUCCUAGUGACUUUAACUGUUCCACCAUUGAGCAGUGUAAUGCAUUUCUCAAUUAUUUUUCAACUAAAAUUGAGAAUAUCCAUAGCGCUAUUGCUUGUGAGGUUGCUCCUGAGCUUGUUGAGGUGCCUCCUGCUAAUUUCUCUGGUCUUGCUUUUUCAAGUUUUAGUGCUGUUGACUCUGAUUUUAUUUCUAAACUUGUCUUGUCUAUGAACUCUACUACUUGCAUACUUGAUCCACUCCCUACGACUGUUUUAAAAAAUUGUCUGCCUGUCAUUUUACCCCACAUCACUACCAUUGUAAAUGCCUCACUCAUUACAGGAAAUGUCUCUUCUGCUCUAAAAAUGGCUGCAGUUACGCCAGUUCUUAAAAAAGCUGGUAGUGAUAUCACUGACAUGUCAAAUUAUCGACCCAUUUCUAACUUACCUUUCCUGGCAAAAGUGCUUGAGCGUGUGGUUGUUGGGCAACUCCAUACUCAUCUCUGUACGUAUAGCCUAUUAGAAAGAUUUCAAUCCGGGUUUAGAUCUGGACACAGUACAGAGACUGCUUUGGUCAGGGUUCUGAAUGACCUCCUCGUUAUAGCUGACUCUGGGGCUUGUGGCAUUUUGGUCAUGUUAGACCUUACUGCCGCAUUCGAUACCAUAUGUCAUAGUAUUUUAUUGGACAGAUUGCAUAAGUGGACCGGUCUGUCUGGAACGGUGUUAGACUGGUUUGAAUCUUACCUCUCAGGUCGUUCACAAUUUGUCUACCUGGGUUCAAACAGAUCUCAGACUGUUUCUCUGUUAAACAUGUGUAUAUAUAUAUAUAUAUAUAUAUAUAUAUAUAUAUAUAUAUAUAUAUAUAUAUAUAUAUAUAUAUAUAUAUAUAUAUAUAUAAAAUAACAAAUCUCAGUGAUACCAAAAUAACACUGAUGCAGCAACAUUAAUAUUGUAUGC